AGUCAGCCCCUGGGGCCGCUCGGGGAGCUGGGAUGCUGCUCGGGCCACGUGCGCCAGGGAGUACUUAGAGUGGCGGCGGCCUGCUGGUGGUGGGGGAGACCCUCUGUGGGCAGGGCCUUGAGCCGAAGCACCAUCCCUCAGCGGCAGGGCGCCCCAUGCUUUCAUGCUUUGAGUUCUGGGACUAUUGACGCCCCAGGCGGGGCCGGCCUUUCCACACCUGGCCAGGGGCGGCAGAGAAGAAUGCGCUCGGUUUUGCCGCGAAUCGCGAGCCCUCCGGCGCAAAGAUCCAGAGAGAGGUGGGGGUUUCCAUCUGAUGCAAGAUGAGCCCCAGGCAAAGCUGUGGGAAGCUGAUGUUUGUCUUUGGUGCCGUUCUUGUCUUUUCCACUAAACAGAAGCCUCUUCUUAAAAGCACAUACACAACUGUCUGAGGAUUCCCCCCCAGCCUUUUCUUUAAGAGGAAAAAGGCUGAGUGUCAAACACAAAUCUAACUGUGCGAGAGAGCACAAUAUUGCCACUAUUAUGAAGGCUCCCAGAAGGAGAGGAGGUGAACAGUCUCUGGGUCACAGUCCUACUGAAGCUUUUGUGAGUGUAUCUGAACCAUCUGGGAGAAGUCAAUGAUUAAGCCAAUAAGUAAGUCCUGAAGUCUAGGGCUCUGGGACCAGAAAAUCUAGUAGAGCUAUGGAUUUAUAGACAGGUUAUCCAGUAGGUACAUGGGCAGAGGCAGUGGGCUGUAUGUUUGUUUUGCUUCUAAGCACCUAUAGAUUCUCUCAAACGCUCAAGAGUAAAUCCAAGAAGGAGUGGAAUGAAUGUCUUCAGCUGGCCCACUCAGCUAGAAUGGAAGAGAGAAGCAGAAUUUGAUCACAUGGUCAUGGCAAGCAAGUAUAGGUAAGAAUCUGGACCAGGCUUACCUGGGCACUCUGUCCUCAGGUUCAAAGGAGUAUAAUGGCAGAGGAAAUCCUGGUGAUAACUGAGAAAGAAGUCAACUGAAUUAUUUAUGUCCUAGAUGUUCAGCUCUUUCAUCACCUGGGGUAGUAACCAGCAGAAUGCCGGAAUUGGAAGGCACUUUGGAACUAACUCAAGCCUCACCUAUACAGGGAAAGAGCCCUGUAUUUGCUCCAGAAGGCAUUCUCCGAGCACUCUGCUGGGCCUAUUAUACAGCUAGCUCAAGAUUCUUGGGCAUACAUGUCUGCCUAGGGGAGAAGGGAGGCCCAGAGGUCUGGAUCUUGAGGGAAAGGAACUUUCAGAGGUAGUCUGCCCAGUUGACUGUGUCUUCGCAGAGGCACCAAAGCAAACUGCGUCCAAGUUGCUUUAUCAGGUUUUGUCCCUUUUGACAAAGUUCUGAACAUUUGGGAAGAGCUUGUCCUGGAGGAGUGGGUCAUAGUGUGACUAUGAGGAAGAACCGUGGAGGAACACCUCACCUGCUAUUGCCCUACCAGGGACAAUCCAAAGCCAGAGACCCAGUUUCCAAGCCCAUCACUAAACCUGUGCCAUGGGGUGGAAGUAUUCUGUACACAGUUUUCUGCACCUCUCUCCCCACAAAAUGGUGGGUUUUGUUGAUGUUGUUUAAUAUACUUCUACAUAGUAUUUCAUUGUAUGGAUGAACUACAGUGUAUUCAACCAAUCCACUAAGGAUGAGUAGUAACAUUUCAUCUCUACUUUUUCUUUUGCAGACUUUAUAUUCUACUCUUUUUUCCUCACUGUUCUUUUAAAUUUUUAUUUUAUUUUUUAAAAAUAAGAUAUAAAUAAACAUAUAGAAUUUUAAUAGAUAUUGCCAAAUUGAACACUAAAAAGGUUAUACAAUUUACACUCUGACUUAAUACAUGAAAGUGCCUGUUUUGCAUUGUUCACAACAGGCAAAUUAUGGAGACAACUCAAAUGUUUAUAGGCAGAUAAACAGAUAGAGACAAUGUGGUAUAUACAUGCAAUGGAAUGCUAUUCAACCUUAAAAAAGAAGAAAAAUCUGCAUUGUGACAACAUGAAUGAACCUGGAGGACAUUACGUUAAGUGAAUCAAGCUAGUUAAGCUAGAUAAUACCGUAUGAUAUCACUAAUAUGUGGUACUUAAAAUAGUCAAACUCAUAAAAGCAGAGAAUAGAACAGUGAUUACCAGGGACUGGGGGAAAGGUAAAUGGGCAGUUGCUACUCAACUGGUGUAAACUUUAAGUUAAGCAAAAUAAAUACAUUUUAGAGAUCUGCCAGUUGCCAUAGUACCUCUAGUUAACAGUCCUAUAUUGUGCAUUUAAAAAUUUGUUAAGAGGGUAGAUCUUAUAUUAAGUGUUCUUAGCACACAAAGGGACACAAGGAAGCUUUUGGAAGUGACAGAUAUGUCUAUUUUCCUCCACUGUGGUGAUGGUUUCAUCGGUGUAUGCGUAUGUCCACUCAUCAAAUCAUACAAUUAAAUAUGUGAAGUUUUUUGUAUAUCAGUAAUGACUCAAUAAAGCUGUUUUAAAAAA